GAUGGACGCUGGCGGCGUGCCUAAUACAUGCAAGUCGAGCGAACAGACGAGGAGCUUGCUCCUCUGACGUUAGCGGCGGACGGGUGAGUAACACGUGGAUAACCUACCUAUAAGACUGGGAUAACUUCGGGAAACCGGAGCUAAUACCGGAUAAUAUAUUGAACCGCAUGGUUCAAUAGUGAAAGACGGUUUUGCUGUCACUUAUAGAUGGAUCCGCGCCGCAUUAGCUAGUUGGUAAGGUAACGGCUUACCAAGGCAACGAUGCGUAGCCGACCUGAGAGGGUGAUCGGCCACACUGGAACUGAGACACGGUCCAGACUCCUACGGGAGGCAGCAGUAGGGAAUCUUCCGCAAUGGGCGAAAGCCUGACGGAGCAACGCCGCGUGAGUGAUGAAGGUCUUCGGAUCGUAAAACUCUGUUAUUAGGGAAGAACAAAUGUGUAAGUAACUAUGCACGUCUGGACGGUACCUAAUCAGAAAACCACGGCUAACUACGU
rnacentral:rRNA from 1 species